AGGAGAUGUUACCAAGCAAGAGAGCAGAAGAGAAGCCAAGACUGUAUCCCGGCGCAGCAUGGCCCGUCCAAACACCAAGCGAUUUUACAGUUUGGGAUCAUGAAAGGGUACAACCAUUACAAUCUUGACCUGCAAGACCUGUCACCAAAGGGUAGGUCAGUAAAUAAAUUCACGUUCAUUCUAGGUAAUAGUCUUCGCAUUUAUUUCCACACCUUUUGCGAGCACAUUAAGCCAAAUCACUUAUAAAUCCUCCUUUAAUCUCUGGAAGCACAAAAACGGUCGCCAACUAAGAAGUCAUCCUAAGAUCACUUCCUAACUUCCUAAAAUGUAAUAACAUUUACAUUUCGCGUUAAAUAAUUUAUUAUAUUUUGCGUUGAAAAGUUAUUACAUUUCGCGUUAAACAUUUAUUACAUUUUGCGUCAAGUUACUAAAUUUCGCAUUAAGAAUACAUUUUGCGUUGAAAGGUAUUACAUUUCGCGUUAAGAUUAGAUUUUGCGUUGAAAGGUAUUACAUUUCGCGUUAAGAUUGCAUUUUGCGUUAGUUAUUACAUUUUGCGUUGAAAACGAUUACACAUGGUCUGGAUGGGGGGUGGGGGGUCUGCAUGUCGGUAGUCAGUUAAAAUUUUCAUAAUUUGUCGGUAGUCGGUGAAUCUAAGCUAGUAUUCGCUUUUGUACUAGAUUUCACGUAUAAACAUGAUUAAACAUUAUUUAGGAUUGAUUAGCGAAUAACUUAUUGAUAAUAAAUUAAUUAUUGGUUAAUUAUUGACUGAAAGGUUGAUGCAACAGGAAAUACAUAGUACAUAUUCUGAAAUGGCCGAAUUUAAGUAGAUUGACGAUGGAAGUAAAGAAUAAAAAUACCGGUUAAAA